CCUACGGGUGGCAGCAGUGGGGAAUAUUGGGCAAUGGGCGCAAGCCUGACCCAGCAACGCCGCGUGAAGGAAGAAGGCUUUCGGGUUGUAAACUUCUUUUAAGAGGGGAGAGCAGAAGACGGUACCUCUUGAAUACGUCACGGCUAACUACGUGCCAGCAGCCGCGGUAAUACGUAGGUGGCCAGCGUUGUCCGGAUUUACUGGGUGUAAAGGGCGUGUAGCCGGGCUGACAAGUCAGAUGUGAAAUUCCGGGGCUAAACCCCGGACCUGCAUUUGAAACUGUUGGUCUUGAGUAUCGGAGAGGCAGGCGGAAUUCCUAGUGUAGCGGGGAAAUGCGUAGAUAGUAGGAGGAACACCAGUGGCGAAGGCGGCCUGCUGGACGACAACUGACGGUGAGGCGCGAAAGCGUGGGGAGCAAACAGGAUUAGAUACCCUAGUAGUC
rnacentral:rRNA from 1 species